rnacentral:lncRNA from 1 species
AAAAAAAUAUUUUUGUCAAAUGCCAGAAAUUUGCCUGGAAGUUAGGAAAUUAAUUAACGAUAAUUUCUUUUUCUUUAUUUCUGUUUGGUUGUUUUCUAUCUUCUUUUCUUUUUUUUUUGUGGGGAAAUAUGGGAUUAACAGAAACUCUAUUAUUAAUCACUGGUCAGAAGGCUGUCGAGUAAGUAACUGUCAAUGCGAACAUCUCCGCAAUUUUUCUUCGCCUCGUAAAUUACUUAGAACAGGGUAUUUUUGUGAGUUAUGAGAAUAUUUUAUUAACGAUUUUGUACUUACCCAGCAGGUGAGGCUAUUAACAACAAGGAAU